rnacentral:rRNA from 1 species
UGAACCGGGAUGAGCUCAAAUUUAAAAUCUGGCGUCUUUCAGGCGUCCGAGUUGUAAUCUAUAGAGGCGUUUUCCGCGCCGGACCGCGUCCAAGUCUCUUGGAAUAGAGUAUCAAAGAGGGUGACAAUCCCGUACUUGACGCGACAACCGGUGCUCUGUGAUACGUUCUCAAUGAGUCGAGUUGUUUGGGAAUGCAGCUCUAAAUGGGUGGUAAAUUCCAUCUAAGGCUAAAUAUUGGCGAGAGACCGAUAGCGAACAAGUACCGUGAGGGAAAGAUGAAAAGCACUUUGGAAAGAGAGUUAAACAGCACGUGAAAUUGUUAAAAGGGAAACGAUUGAAGUCAGUCGUGUGAAAGGUAUUCAGCCGUCUCUGGCGGUGUAUUUGCCUUUCACGGGUCAACAUCAGUUUGAUCCGGUAGAAAAAGGCGGGAGGAAGGUGGCACCCUCGGGUGUGUUAUAGCCUCCUGUCAUAUGUGCCGGACCAGACUGAGGAACGCAGCUUGCCGCAAGGCCGGGGUUCGCCCACGUACAAGCUUAGGAUGUUGACAUAAUGGCUUUAAACGACCCGUCUUGAA